UGUAUUGGCGGCAUGUAUCAUAUAUUGAAGUUGGAACAAUACAGAGAAUAUUAGCAAGGCCGCUGCAAGGAUGUUCAACAAAUUCAUGAAGCAUUCCAUAUUUUU
ensembl:snRNA U6 U6 spliceosomal RNA